GUAGUCUCGCACAGACUGCAUAUCAAUAAGCGGAGGAAAAGAAACUAACAAGGAUUCCCUCAGUAACGGCGAGUGAAGCGGGAAGAGCUCAAAUUUGAAAUCUUGAAAGGUCACCUUUCACGAAUUGUAGUUUAAAGAAGUGUUUUCUGUUACGAUCGUAAUAUAAGUUCUUUGGAAUAGGACAUCACAGAGGGUGAGAAUCCCGUCUAUGAUUGCGAUUUGUAGCUUUGUGAUACACUUUCAAAGAGUCGGGUUGUUUGGGAAUGCAGCCCAAAACGGGAGGUAAAUUUCUUCUAAGGCUAAAUAUUGGCGAGAGACCGAUAGCGAACAAGUACCGUGAGGGAAAGAUGAAAAGAACUUUGAAAAGAGAGUUAAAUAGUACGUGAAAUUGUCAAAAGGGAAGCGUUUAACACCAGUGUUGUUUUCUGAAAAUCAAUUAAAAAGAGUUAGAUUUUGUUGUGUAUUGACCUUAACAGCUUGCAUUUCAAUUUUCUUGCUUUUUUUAAUGCACUUUUCGUUUAACAAGUCAACAUCAGUUUCUUUUGUUGUAAAAAGGUCAUUGGAAGGUGGCUUUCUUUUCGGAGAAAGUGUUUAUAGCCUUUGACUCCUGCAGUCGGAGAGACUGAGGUCUGCAGCGUAGAUCCUUCGGGGUUAGAUACAUUUGUGCUAAGUUAUAGCUUUUUAUAGACAACUUGUUGACUAUGAUUAGUCUUGUAGCUUACUCGCUUAUGCUAUUUUACCUACGCUUAGGAUGUUGAAGAUGUAGCACAUCAU
rnacentral:rRNA from 1 species